rnacentral:piRNA from 1 species
UCUCCUCAUACCCAAGGGUAGAUACACCAGC